rnacentral:rRNA from 1 species
UUUAAAUAGCUGCAGUAUUUUAACUGUACUAAGGUAGCAUAAUAAUUAGUCUCUUAAUUGGGGUCUGGAAUGAAUGGUUUGACAAAAGAAUAACUUUAUUAAUAGAUUUUUUUUUAAUUUUAUUUUUUGGUUAAAAAGCUAAAAUUUUUAAGUGGGACGAUAAGACCCUAUAGAUCUUUAAAUUUUAAUUUGUAAUAAUUUUUUAGUGUAAAAUAAAUUUUAUUUUUAUAAAAUUUUUUGUUGGGGUGACAUAUAAAUUUUUAAAACUUUAUAAUUUUUUUACAUUGAUAGGUGGUUAAAAUUGAUCCAAUUUUUUUUUUGAUUAUUAAAAUAAGAUACCUUAGGGAUAACAGCGUAAUAAAUUUGUAUAGUUCAUAUAGAUAAAUUUGUUUACGACCUCGAUGUUGAAUUAAUUAAAAUUUUUGGAGCAGAAAUUAAAAUUUUGGGUCUGUUCGACCUUUAAAAUAUUACA